CCUACGGGGAGCAGCAGUGGGGAAUAUUGGACAAUGGGCGAAAGCCUGAUCCAGCCAUGCCGCGUGUGUGAAGAAGGCCUUCGGGUUGUAAAGCACUUUCAGUGGGGAAGAAAGCCUUGGGGCUAAUACCCUCGAGGAAGGACAUCACCCACAGAAGAAGCACCGGCUAACUCCGUGCCAGCAGCCGCGGUAAUACGGAGGGUGCGGGCGUUAAUCGGAAUUACUGGGCGUAAAGCGCGCGUAGGCGGUCUGAUAAGCCGGUUGUGAAAGCCCCGGGCUCAACCUGGGAACGGCAUCCGGAACUGUCAGGCUAGAGUGCAGGAGAGGAAGGUAGAAUUCCCGGUGUAGCGGUGAAAUGCGUAGAGAUCGGGAGGAAUACCAGUGGCGAAGGCGGCCUUCUGGACUGACACUGACGCUGAGGUGCGAAAGCGUGGGUAGCAAACAGGAUUAGAUACCCCAGUAGUC
rnacentral:rRNA from 1 species